ACUCAAAGGAAUAGACGGGGGCUCACACAAGCGGUGGAGCAUGUGGCUUAAUUCGAGGCUACGCGAAGAACCUUAUCCCGGGCUUGACAUGUCCGAAAGGGGCGGGAGGUAGGACCCGGAAACGGGGACGAACGGUAUCCAACCCGGAACCCGCCACAGGUGCUGCAUGGCUGUCGUCAGCUCGUGUCGUGAGAUGUCGGGUUAAGUCCCAUAACGAGCGAAACCCCUGUCUCCAGUUGCUACGCGUCAUGGCGAGGACUCUGGAGAGACUGCCGGCGUCAAGCCGGAGGAAGGCGGGGAUGACGUCAAGUCCUCAUGGCCUUUAUGCCCGGGGCUGCACACGUGCUACAAUGCCGCGCACAAAGGGACGCGAUGCCGCGAGGCGGAGCCAAUCCCAGAAAACGCGGCCCAGUUCAGAUCGCAGGCUGCAACUCGCCUGCGUGAAGCCGGAAUCGCUAGUAAUCGCGGGUCAGCAACACCGCGGUGAAUGUGUUCCUGAGCCUUGCACACACCGCCCGU
rnacentral:rRNA from 1 species